ACAUUCCGAAAGGAAUGCUAAUACCGCAUACGCCCUACGGGGGAAAGCAGGGGAUUCUUCGGACCUUCGCGCUAAUAGAUGAGCCUAAGUCAGAUUAGCUAGUUGGUGGGGUAAAGGCCUACCAAGGCGACGAUCUGUAGCGGGUCUGAGAGGAUGAUCCGCCACACUGGGACUGAGACACGGCCCAGACUCCUACGGGAGGCAGCAGUGGGGAAUAUUGGACAAUGGGCGCAAGCCUGAUCCAGCCAUGCCGCGUGUGUGAAGAAGGCCUUUUGGUUGUAAAGCACUUUAAGCGAGGAGGAGGCUACUUAGAUUAAUACUCUAGGAUAGUGGACGUUACUCGCAGAAUAAGCACCGGCUAACUCUGUGCCAGCAGCCGCGGUAAUACAGAGGGUGCGAGCGUUAAUCGGAUUUACUGGGCGUAAAGCGUGCGUAGGCGGCUUUUUAAGUCGGAUGUGAAAUCCCUGAGCUUAACUUAGGAAUUGCAUUCGAUACUGGGGGAGCUAGAGUAUGGGAGAGGAUGGUAGAAUUCCAGGUGUAGCGGUGAAAUGCGUAGAGAUCUGGAGGAUACCGAUGGCGAAAGCAGCCAUCUGGCCUAAUACUGACGCUGAGGUACGAAAGCAUGGGGAGCAAACAGGAUUAGAUACCCUGGUAGUCCAUGCCGUAAACGAUGUCUACUAGCCGUUGGGGCCUUUGAGGCUUUAGUGCGCAGCUAACGCGAUAGUAGACGCUGGGGAGUACGUCGCA
rnacentral:rRNA from 1 species